rnacentral:tRNA from 1 species
GGGCGGAUAGCUCAGUGGUAGAGCACCUGCCUUACAAGCAGGGGGUCACAGGUUCGAACCCUGUUUCGCCCA